GUGGGGAAUAUUGGACAAUGGGCGAAAGCCUGAUCCAGCAAUGCCGCGUGAGUGAUGAAGGCCCUAGGGUUGUAAAGCUCUUUUACCCGGGAUGAUAAUGACAGUACCGGGAGAAUAAGCUCCGGCUAACUCCGUGCCAGCAGCCGCGGUAAUACGGAGGGAGCUAGCGUUGUUCGGAAUUACUGGGCGUAAAGCGCGCGUAGGCGGUUUUCCAAGUCAGGGGUGAAAGCCCGGGGCUCAACCCCGGAAUAGCCCUUGAAACUGGAAGACUAGAAUCUUGGAGAGGUCAGUGGAAUUCCUAGUGUAGAGGUGAAAUUCGUAGAUAUUCGGAAGAACACCAGUGGCGAAGGCGACUGACUGGACAAGUAUUGACGCUGAGGUGCGAAAGCGUGGGGAGCAAACAGGAUUAGAUACCCGGGUAGUCC
rnacentral:rRNA from 1 species